rnacentral:lncRNA from 1 species
GUGGGAUGCCUACAGCUGAUCAAUGCUCUCAUCACUCCCGCUGAGGAACUUGACUUCCGGGUUCACAUCCGAAGUGAGCUGAUGCGCUUGGGACUGCAUCAAGUGUUGCAGGAGCUUCGAGAGAUUGACAAUGAUGAUAUGCGAGUACAGCUCAAUGUGUUUGAUGAACAAGGGGAUGAAGAUUUCUUCGAUCUGAAGGGACGACUGGAUGAUAUCCGCAUGGAGAUGGAAUAUCCUUUUAUGACUGAUGACUGAGUUCAGGACAGAUGAUACAUUUACUUACAGACUGAAUGUAUGGAAUAGUCUGGAGAGUGAUCACUUAGAAUAAGGCCUAAGACUGGGAAUGGUGGCACAUGACUUGAAUUCGUCUCCUAGCACUUAGGAUCUCUUUUGAGUUUGAAGCCAGCCUGGUCUGCAUAGUGAACUCCAGGCCAGGCCAGCUAAGCCUACACAGUGAGAGUCUGUCUCAAAAAAAAAAAAAAAAAA